rnacentral:rRNA from 1 species
GAUGAACGCUGGCGGCGUGCCUAAUACAUGCAAGUCGAGCGAACAGAUGAGGAGCUUGCUCCUCUGACGUUAGCGGCGGACGGGUGAGUAACACGUGGAUAACCUACCUAUAAGACUGGGAUAACUUCGGGGAACCGGAGCUAAUACCGGAUAAUAUAUUGAACCGCAUGGUUCAAUAGUGAAAGACGGUUUUGCUGUCACUUAUAGAUGGAUCCGCGCCGCAUUAGCUAGUUGGUAAGGUAACGGCUUACCAAGGCAACGAUGCGUAGCCGACCUGAGAGGGUGAUCGGCCACACUGGAACUGAGACACGGUCCAGAUUCCUACGGGAGGCAGCAGUAGGGAAUCUUCCGCAAUGGGCGAAAGCCUGACGGAGCAACGCCGCGUGAGUGAUGAAGGUCUUCGGAUCGUAAAACUCUGUUAUUAGGGAAGAACAAAUGUGUAAGUAACUAUGCACGUCUUGACGGUACCUAAUCAGAAAGCCACGGCUAACUACGU